AUGAUAAGCACCGACACCGGCUGGGUGCAAGUUAAUUCCAUCACCUGUACAAUAUUUUCCCCGAACACGAUACGUGUAGCUGGAGAUACUAGCAUCUCGAACCAUCUAGAACAGAAACAAAAACACUGUGUAGAAAGAUCAGAGGCGCAUCUAUCAUCUAGACUAUAUGCAGAAGAAGAGCAGAUACGUACAAAGAUUUGCAGAAAAAUCACAGGUCACGGCAGACCAUUGCCUGCAGAUGCGUACACAGCUAUGACUUUCAGGCGGACAAUUUUGUGGGCGAAGUCCACCGGAUUCAGAUAA
rnacentral:rRNA from 1 species